rnacentral:misc_RNA from 1 species
GGCAGGUAGUAAUAGAAAUCAUAGGACAAGAAAUGAUAAAAAAAAUAAUGCUACCAAACUAUUACCAAGCCUAACCCUCAAGAUAUCAAGACAAUGUUCAGCACAUACUAACCCCUUUUACCCUAAUCUGCAACGUUCAUAUCCCAAUAUUUAAGGUCAUGUCCACGGUAAAUUAAAGAUGUGCAAUAAACUGUCUAAUCACCUCUCCCAAAUACUUCUUCUAUGGGCUACCUCUAUCUCUCCUUAAACCCACCAAAGCUAACCGUUCACACCUCCUGACUGGGCAUCUUCACAUCUCCUCCUCUUCCACAUGCAUGAACCAUCUCAGUCACGCUUCCCUCAUGUUGUCCCAAAUAUCUUCAUUCCUAA